GAGUUUGAUCAUGGCUCAGAUUGAACGCUGGCGGCAGGCCUAACACAUGCAAGUCGAGCGGAUGACGGGAGCUUGCUCCUUGAUUCAGCGGCGGACGGGUGAGUAAUGCCUAGGAAUCUGCCUGGUAGUGGGGGACAACGUUUCGAAAGUUACGCUAAUACCGCAUAUUCUGUGAGCAGGAAAGCGGGGGACCUUCGGGCCUUGCGCUAUCAGAUGAGCCUAGGUCGGAUUAGCUAGUUGUGGGGUAAUGGCUCACCAAGGCGACGAUCCGUAACUGGUCUGAGAGGAUGAUCAGUCACACUGGAACUGAGACACGGUCCAGACUCCUACGGGAGGCAGCAGUGGGGAAUAUUGGACAAUGGGCGAAAGCCUGAUCCAGCCAUGCCGCGUGUGUGAAGAAGGUCUUCGGAUUGUAAAGCACUUUAAGUUGGGAGAAGGGCAGUAAGUUAAUACCUUGCUGUUUUGACGUUACCGACAGAAUAAGCACCGGCUAACUCUGUGCCAG
rnacentral:rRNA from 1 species